rnacentral:rRNA from 1 species
AGAGUUUGAUCCUGGCUCAGGAUGAACGCUGGCGGUAUGCUUAACACAUGCAAGUCGAACGGGAUGCUUAGGCAUCUAGUGGCGGACGGGUGAGUAACGCGUGAGAAUCUGGCUCCAGGUCGGGGAUAACAGUUGGAAACGACUGCUAAUACCGGAUGUGCCGAGAGGUGAAAGAUUUAUUGCCUGGAGAUGAGCUCGCGUCUGAUUAGCUAGUUGGUGGUGUAAGGGACCACCAAGGCGUCGAUCAGUAGCUGGUCUGAGAGGAUGAUCAGCCACACUGGGACUGAGACACGGCCCAGACUCCUACGGGAGGCAGCAGUGGGGAAUUUUCCGCAAUGGGCGAAAGCCUGACGGAGCAAUACCGCGUGAGGGAGGAAGGCYCCUUGGGUCGUAAACCUCUUUUCUCAAGGAAGAANAAAGUGACGGUACUUGAGGAAUAAGCAUCGGCUAACUCCGUGCCAGCAGCCGCGGUAAUACGGAGGAUGCAAGCGUUAUCCGGAAUGAUUGGGCGUAAAGGGUCUGCAGGUGGAACUGAAAGUCUGCUGUUAAAGAGUUUGGCUUAACCAAAUAAAAGCGGUGGAAACUACAGAACUAGAGUGCGGUAGGGGCAAAAGGAAUUCCUGGUGUAGCGGUGAAAUGCGUAGAUAUCAGGAAGAACACCGGUGGCGAAAGCGUUUUGCUAGACCGUAACUGACACUGAGGGACGAAAGCUAGGGGAGCGAAUGGGAUUAGAUACCCCAGUAGUCCUAGCCGUAAACGAUGGAUACUAGGCGUGGCUUGUAUCGACCCGAGCCGUGCCGGAGCUAACGCGUUAAGUAUSCCGCCUGGGGAGUACGCACGCAAGUGUGAAACUCAAAGGAAUUGACGGGGGCCCGCACAAGCGGUGGAGUAUGUGGUUUAAUUCGAUGCAACGCGAAGAACCUUACCAAGACUUGACAUCCUGCGAAUCCCGGUGAAAGCUGGGAGUGCCUUAGGGAGCGCAGAGACAGGUGGUGCAUGGCUGUCGUCAGCUCGUGUCGUGAGAUGUUGGGUUAAGUCCCGCAACGAGCGCAACCCUCGUUUUUAGUUGCCAGCAUUAAGUUGGGCACUCUAGAGAGACUGCCGGUGACAAACCGGAGGAAGGUGAGGAUGACGUCAAGUCAGCAUGCCCCUUACGUCUUGGGCUACACACGUACUACAAUGCUACGGACAGAGGGCAGCAAGCCAGGGAUGGCAAGCGAAUCCAGAAACCGUAGCUCAGUUCAGAUCGAAGGCUGCAACUCGCCUUCGUGAAGGAGGAAUCGCUAGUAAUUGCAGGUCAGCAUACUGCAGUGAAUUCGUUCCCGGGCCUUGUACACACCGCCCGUCACACCAUGGAAGUUGGUCACGCCCGAAGUCAUUACCCCAACCGAAAGGAGGGGGAUGCCUAAGGUAG